UCCUAUCGUACGGGACGCAGCAGUAAGGAAUAUUGGUCAAUGGACGAAAGUCUGAACCAGCCAUGCCGCGUGAAGGAUUAAGGUCCUCUGGAUUGUAAACUUCUUUUAUCUGGGACGAAAAAAGGCGAUUCUUCGUCACUUGACGGUACCAGAUGAAUAAGCACCGGCUAACUCCGUGCCAGCAGCCGCGGUAAUACGGAGGGUGCAAGCGUUAUCCGGAUUCACUGGGUUUAAAGGGUGCGUAGGCGGACAGUUAAGUCAGUGGUGAAAUCCUAGAGCUUAACUCUAGAACUGCCAUUGAUACUAUCUGUCUUGAAUAUUGUGGAGGUAAGCGGAAUAUGUCAUGUAGCGGUGAAAUGCUUAGAUAUGACAUAGAACACCUAUUGCGAAGGCAGCUCACUACGCAUAUAUGACGCUGAGCACGAAAAGACC
rnacentral:rRNA from 1 species